rnacentral:rRNA from 1 species
UACGUAGGGGGCAAGCGUUGUCCGGAAUUAUUGGGCGUAAAGCGCGCGCAGGCGGUCAUUUAAGUCUGGUGUUUAAUCCCGGGGCUCAACCCCGGAUCGCACUGGAAACUGGGUGACUUGAGUGCAGAAGAGGAGAGUGGAAUUCCACGUGUAGCGGUGAAAUGCGUAGAUAUGUGGAGGAACACCAGUGGCGAAGGCGACUCUCUGGGCUGUAACUGACGCUGAGGCGCGAAAGCGUGGGGGAGCAAACAGG